ACUCAAAGGAAUAGACGGGGGCCCGCACAAGCGGUGGAGCAUGUGGUUCAAUUCGACGCAACGCGAAGAACCUUACCGGGGUUUGAACCGUACGGGACAGCUGCAGAGACGUAGUUUUCCUUCGGGACCCGUAUAGAGGUGCUGCAUGGCUGUCGUCAGCUCGUGUCGUGAGAUGUUGGGUUAAGUCCCGCAACGAGCGCAACCCUUGCCUCCUGUUGCUAACAGGUAAAGCUGAGCACUCUGGAGAGACUGCCGGUGAUAAACCGGAGGAAGGUGGGGAUGACGUCAAGUCCUCAUGGCCUUUAUGCCCCGGGCUACACACGUGCUACAAUGGCUGGUACAAAGGGUUGCAAAACCGCGAGGUGGAGCUAAUCCCAGAAAACCAGUCCCAGUUCGGAUUGCAGUCUGCAACUCGACUGCAUGAAGUUGGAAUCGCUAGUAAUCGCGGAUCAGCACGCCGCGGUGAAUACGUUCCCGGGCCUUGCACACACCGCCCGU
rnacentral:rRNA from 1 species